UACGUAGGGGGCGAGCGUUGUCCGGAGUUACUGGGCGUAAAGAGCGCGUAGGCGGUCUGCCAAGUCUGAUGUGAAACUCCUCGGCUCAACCGGGGGCCUGCAUUGGAUACUGGUAGACUAGAGUGCAGUAGGGGAGAGUGGAAUUCCUGGUGUAGCGGUGAAAUGCGCAGAGAUCAGGAGGAACACCGGUGGCGAAGGCGGCUCUCUGGGCUGCAACUGACGCUGAGGCGCGAAAGCUAGGGGAGCAAACAGG
rnacentral:rRNA from 1 species